GCCAGCAGCCAUAUCACCCUUCAACUCACAACUGGCAACCCACUGAAGCUAAGCAGGUGUGAGCCUGGUCAGUACCUGAAUGGGAGACCUCCUGGGAAAAACUAAGGCUGCUGCUGGAA
ensembl:rRNA 5S_rRNA 5S ribosomal RNA